GAUGAACGCUGGCGGCGUGCCUAAUACAUGCAAGUCGAGCGAACGGACGAGAAGCUUGCUUUUCUGAUGUUAGCGGCGGACGGGUGAGUAACACGUGGAUAACCUACCUAUAAGACUGGGAUAACUUCGGGAAACCGGAGCUAAUACCGGAUAAUAUUUUGAACCGCAUGGUUCAAAAGUGAAAGACGGUCUUGCUGUCACUUAUAGAUGGAUCCGCGCUGCAUUAGCUAGUUGGUAAGGUAACGGCUUACCAAGGCAACGAUGCAUAGCCGACCUGAGAGGGUGAUCGGCCACACUGGAACUGAGACACGGUCCAGACUCCUACGGGAGGCAGCAGUAGGGAAUCGUCCGCAAUGGGCGAAAGCCUGACGGAGCAACGCCGCGUGAGUGAUGAAGGUCUUCGGAUCGGAAAACUCUGUUAUUAGGGAAAAACAUAUGUGUAAGUAACUGUGCACAUCGUGACGGUACCUAAUCAGAAAGCCACGGCUAACUACGUG
rnacentral:rRNA from 1 species